rnacentral:pre_miRNA from 1 species
CUGUACAGAAGGAUUUGAUCAGUCAGGCUGCUGGCUAUAUUCCAGGACAAGUCUGGUCCUGAUAUAGCCAAGCCCGACUGUAUGGUGCCAAAG